rnacentral:rRNA from 1 species
CCUACGGGUGGCUGCAGUGAGGAAUAUUGGUCAAUGGGCGCGAGCCUGAACCAGCCAAGUAGCGUGAAGGAUGACUGCCCUACGGGUUGUAAACUUCUUUUAUAAAGGAAUACAGUGAGGCACGUGUCCCUUUUUGUAUGUACUUUAUGAAUAAGGUUCGGAUAACUCCGCGCCAGCAGCCGCGGUAAUACGGAGGAUCCGAGCUUUUCCCGGAUUUAUUGGGUUUAAAGGGACGUGAGAUGGGUUGUUAAGUCAGUUGUGAAAGUUUGCGGCUCAAACGUAAAAUUGCAAUUGAUACUGGCAGCCUUGAGUACAGUUGAGGUAGGCGGAAUUCGUGGUGUAGCGGUGAAAUGCUUAGAUAUCACGAAGAACUCCGAUUGCGAAGGCAGCCUACUAAACUGCCACUGACAUUGAUGCUCGAAAGUGUGGGUAUCAAACAGGAUUAGAUACCCUAGUAGUC